AGACGUCAAUCAUCAUGCCCCUUAUGUCCUGGGCCACACACGUACUACAAUGGUGGUUAACAGAGGGAGGCAAGACCGUGAGGUGGAGCAAAUCCCUAAAAGCCAUCCCAGUUCGGAUUGCAGGCUGCAACCCGCCUGCAUGAAGUUGGAAUCGCUAGUAAUCGCGGAUCAGCAUGCCGCGGUGAAUACGUUCCCGGGCCUUGUACACACCGCCCGUCACACCAUGAGAGUCGGGAACACCCGAAGUCCGUAGCCUAACCGCAAUGGGGGCGCGGCCGAAGGUGGGUUCGAUAAUUGGGGUGAAGUCGUAACAGGUAACCGUUA
rnacentral:rRNA from 1 species